UACGUAGGGUGCAAGCGUUGUCCGGAAUUAUUGGGCGUAAAGAGCUUGUAGGCGGUUUGUCGCGUCUGCUGUGAAAUUUCGGGGCUCAACCCCGAACUUGCAGUGGGUACGGGCAGACUAGAGUGUGGUAGGGGAGACUGGAAUUCCUGGUGUAGCGGUGAAAUGCGCAGAUAUCAGGAGGAACACCGGUGGCGAAGGCGGGUCUCUGGGACGAAAUUGACGCUGAGGAGCGAAAGCGUGGGGAGCAAACAGG
rnacentral:rRNA from 1 species